CAACAGGGAUUGCCUCAGUAACGGCGAGUGAAGCGGCAAAAGCUCAGAUUUGAAAUCUGGCGUCAUCUUGGCGUCCGAGUUGUAAUCUGUAGAGGAGUAUUCGAGUGUGGCGUUGGCUUAAGUUCCUUGGAACAGGACGUCAUAGAGGGUGAGAACCCCGUUAACGGCCUUUGUCUUAUGCUCAUGUGAAUCUCCUUCAACGAGUCGAGUUGUUUGGGAAUGCAGCUCUAAAUGGGUGGUAAAUUCCAUCUAAAGCUAAAUACUGGCAAGAGACCGAUAGCGCACAAGUAGAGUGAUCGAAAGAUGAAAAGAACUCUGAACAGAGAGUUAAAUAGUACGUGAAAUUGUUGAAAGGGAAGCACUUGCUACCAGACACGCCUGUAGUUGAUCAGCCUUCAUUCUUGAUGGUGCACUCGGCUACAUGGUGGGUCAGCAUCAGUUGUGGCGGUGGGAUAAAGACCUGGGGAAUGUGGCUUCUCUCGGGAAGUGUUAUAGCCCUGGGUGCAAUACCGCCUGCUGCGACUGAGGACCGCGC
rnacentral:rRNA from 1 species